rfam:Triticum urartu cultivar G1812 contig659827, whole genome shotgun sequence.
UUAGUACUCCCUCCGUCCCAAAAUUCUUGUCUUAAAUUCAUCUAUAUACGGAUGUAUCUAAUACUAAAACAUGACUUGAUACAUCCGGAUUUAGACAAAUCUAAGGCAAGAAUUAUUAGAUACAUCCAUAUCUAGAUGAAUUUAAGACAAGAAUUUUGGGAUGGAGGGAGUAGAUU